UACGUAGGGGGCAAGCGUUGUCCGGAUUUAUUGGGCGUAAAGAGCGUGUAGGCGGUUCGGUAGGUCCGUUGUGAAAACUCGAGGCUCAACCUCGAGACGCCGAUGGAAACCAUCGAACUAGAGUCCGGAAGAGGAGAGUGGAAUUCCUGGUGUAGCGGUGAAGUGCGCAGAUAUCAGGAAGAACACCCGUGGCUAAGGCGGCUCUCUAGUACGGUACUGACGCUGAGACGCGAAAGCGUGGGGAGCGAACAGG
rnacentral:rRNA from 1 species